rnacentral:rRNA from 1 species
UGUCUCAAAGAUUAAGCCAUGCAUGUCUAAGUAUAAGCAAUUAUACCGUGAAACUGCGAAUGGCUCAUUAAAUCAGUUAUCGUUUAUUUGAUAGUACCUUACUACUUGGAUAACCGUGGUAAUUCUAGAGCUAAUACAUGCUGAAAACCCCGACUUCGGAAGGGGUGUAUUUAUUAGAUAAAAAACCAAUGCCCUUCGGGGCUCUUUGGUGAUUCAUGAUAACUUAACGGAUCGCAUGGCCUUGCGCCGGCGACGGUUCAUUCAAAUUUCUGCCCUAUCAACUUUCGAUGGUAAGGUAUUGGCUUACCAUGGUUUCAACGGGUAACGGGGAAUUAGGGUUCGGUUCCGGAGAGGGAGCCUGAGAAACGGCUACCACAUCCAAGGAAGGCAGCAGGCGCGCAAAUUACCCAAUCCCGACACGGGGAGGUAGUGACAAUAAAUACUGAUACAGGGCUCUUUUGGGUCUUGUAAUUGGAAUGAGUACAAUUUAAACCCCUUAACGAGGAACAAUUGGAGGGCAAGUCUG